AUCUGCGAUGGCAGAGCUGUGACUCGGCGUUUUGAGUCACCUCUCCAGCCAGCUUUUUAGAAUUGCUGCUUCAUUUGGAGAUGGUCGUUUUUUGCUACAUAGCAAUUCUUCAUUUUUCAUGUACAGAUAAAGGCUAAAAAGAAAAUGAAGAAGCCCUUUUGUCCAUACAUGAACAAGUUUUUCAAUUACAGGAUGGAACUCGGGACCUUGCACUUGUGAGGCAGGCAGCAGAACUACUGAACUAAAUCCCCAGCCCUUAUUUUUGUUUUGUUUGUUUGUUGUUUUUUGGUACCAGGGAUUGAACUCAGGUCCUUGUGCUUAUUUUUGUUUUUUGAGGCAGGGCCUCAUUAUGUAGUUCAGGCUGGCCUCAAACUCAUGCCAGUCCUCCUGCCUCAGCCUCCUGAGUGCUAGAAUUAUAGGCAAAACCCUGUCUCAAAAAAAAAAAUUAAGUUGUAAGCUGUUAUAAAAUUGGGGCUGGGAAUUUAGCUCAGUGGUGCCACUGCCUGCCUUGCAAGUGCAAGGUCCUGAGUUUUAUCCCCCAUACCAAAAAAUGAAUAAAUAAAAUGAAAUGAAAUUGGGGUGAGAUGAGCACUUAAUGCUAAGUGUAAAUUAGACACCAGUUUAAAUAUCACGUGGUUUCUCUUAUAUGAGAAGCUCAAUAUAUAAGUAAAAUGCAAAAUAAAAGACAAUAGGAAAAAAGAGAGAAAAGAAAGUUACUGUAGGCCAGGCCUGCUAUCCAGCACUCAGGAGGCUGAGUAGGAGGAUUGCUAAGAAUUCCAGGCCACCUUGAGCUACAUAGUACAAGGUCAGCCUGAACUACACAGGGAGAUGCUGUCUCCAAAGAAAGUUAUUGUAAUUCAACAUGGACAAUAUAUUUAAAAGUGUACUUUGAUUUAGUAUAAUCAUUUCAUGUAUUAUUUAUUUAGGUUUGAGACAGGGUCUUACUGUGUAGCCCAGGCUGGCCUUGAAUUCAUGGUGAUCUUCCUGCCCCAGCCUCCCAAGUGCUGGCAUUAUAGGCAUAAACCACCAGGCCUGGCAAGUGUUUUAUAUGUUUUUUGGCCGUUAGUCUGGAUGUUAAUCUUUACAUAUGAUAAUUAACUUUAUAAGGACUUACAAGAUAAAUAAAUGAAUCUGAUUCUGACAAAAAAGGGGGAGGAUGGAGAAGGGAAAAAAAGAAUUAAGGUGUGUAACCAUACCUGGCCAAUUCCCCACAGUGAAUGUAAUCAUUAUGUACUGCAAACAUGUACUAAUAAAAAUUAAAAAUAUUGGAGUGAGUCAUUUAUGAAAUGCAAAUUAAAACAACACUGAAAUUUUUAAAAAAACAUCGAGAUUCCAUCUCACUCCAGAAAGAAUGGCUGCUAUCAAGAAAUUAACCAAUUGGGCCGGGGAUUUAGCUCAGUGGCACCACACCUGCCUCGAAAGCACAAGGUCCUGGGUUUGAUCCCAGGUACCAAAAAAAGUAGAAAUCAACCAAUAACAAAUGCUGGCUUCAUGGCCGAAGGAAGCAGAGGGUCAAGGGAGGAGCAGGGGGAGAUAGAGUCUCCCUGGUCACCCCAACCUGGGACCUGCCUCUUCCAACCAAGCCCCACAUCCUAAUAGCUAUAAGGACCUAAAUCUAAUCACCUUCCAAAAGCCCCACCAAGGGCCCCGAGUGGUGGUACAUGCUUAUAAUUCCAGCACUCCAGAGGCUGAGGCAGGAGAAUCCCUGGGAAUUCAGGGCCAGCCUGAAGGGUAUAGUGAGACACUGUGUCAACCUCUGCCCAGCAAAAGCCCUGCCUAGGAUUGCACAAGGCUUUAGGGGGACAUCUAGACAUAAACCGUAACACUGCCAGGCUACCUGGGUGCAGGGUUCACGAACAAGACUGUGGUUGUGAGCUGAUCACAAGCUUGAAAAUCAGAAUCCAUAUUUAGGUACAAAAGAAAAUGUCUUCAACUGGGAAAGAGAAACAGAAACACAGUAAGCAUGAAGGCAGCCAGUAAAUGUUGCUUGGAAAGGAAUUGCUUUUAGAGUUGAGUAAAAUAAGGUGUUUUUUUUGUUGUUUUUUUUUUGGUACUGGGGAUGGAACUCGGGACCCUUGUGCUUUCAAG
rnacentral:lncRNA from 1 species